UGAGGAAUAUUGGACAAUGGGCGCAAGCCUGAUCCAGCCAUGCCGCGUGCAGGAAGAAGCAUCUAUGGUGUGUAAACUGCUUUUGUACGGGAAGAAACACUCCUUCGUGAAGGAGCUUGACGGUACCGUAAGAAUAAGGAUCGGCUAACUCCGUGCCAGCAGCCGCGGUAAUACGGAGGAUCCAAGCGUUAUCCGGAAUCAUUGGGUUUAAAGGGUCCGUAGGCGGUUUAGUAGGUCAGUGGUGAAAGCCCAUCGCUCAACGAUGGAACGGCCAUUGAUACUGCUAGACUUGAAUUACAAGGAAGUAACUAGAAUAUGUAGUGUAGCGGCGAAAUGCUUAGGUAUUACAUGGAAUACCAAUUGCGAAGGCAGGUUACUACUUGUGGAUUGACGCUGAUGGACGAAAGCGUGGGGAUCAAACA
rnacentral:rRNA from 1 species